AGAGUCGGCGAGAUGGUUGCAGGCUUGGCAACGAGCGUGAGGAAAGUCCGGGCUCCCGAAAGACCAAACUUGCUGGAUAACGCCCAGUGCGAGCGAUCGCGAGGAGAGUGCCACAGAAAAAUACCGCCAUUAUCAAUGACCAAUUGAUAAUUGAUAGUUGAUAAGGGUAAGGGUGCAAAGGUGCGGUAAGAGCGCACCAGCAGCAUCGAGAGGUGCUGGCUCGGUAAACCCCGGUUGGGAGCAAGGUCGGAGGGGCAAGGGUUGGUCUUUUUCCCGCCCCGAAUUUGGCGAACCGCUCGAGGUAUUCGGUAACGAAUAUCCUAGAUAGAUAACCAUCCUCGAACAGAACCCGGCUUACGUCCGGCUCUCUUU
rnacentral:RNase_P_RNA from 1 species